UCAUUAUACGUUUUGAUUGACACCUCUUCCGUCAACUUGCACUAACUGAGUGUAUUGAACAUAAUUAUUAUUUAGGAUCAUGGAUCCGGCCAAAAAAAGAUCCGAUAUAAAUGAAGAGAUCAUACGCUCACGCUCGACUAGCCAGAGUAUAAGAGGGCGCGAUGUCAGACGAGGAGGAUUUUGUUCCGGACCUGGUACCGGCCCAGUACGCGCCCAUUCCAGUUCUGAUCAUCACCGGCUGCCUAGGCGCCGGAAAAACCACGCUGCUCAACUACAUACUCACGGAGCAGCACCACAAGAGGAUAGCCGUUAUCCUCAAUGAAUUCGGCGAAGGGAGUGCGAUGGAGAAGAGUUUAUCGAUCGGCGAGGAGGGCAACAUGUACGAAGAGUGGCUGGAGCUAAGAAACGGCUGUCUCUGCUGCUCAGUCAAGGACAACGGUGUGAAGGCCAUCGAGAAUCUGAUGCAGAAGCGCGGCCGAUUCGACUACAUCCUGCUGGAGACGACCGGCCUGGCCGACCCCGGUCCGGUCGCGUCCAUCUUCUGGCUGGAUAAGGAGUUGGGCAGUGAUGUCUAUUUGGAUGGUAUAGUAACUGUAGUGGACGCCAAGAACAUUGUUAAGACCCUGGACGAGGCGACUGAGGAAGCCAUGUCAGAGGAGCCCGCGGAGCAGUCGACUCUGGGCACCCCGGCCAGGCAGGUAGCGCUCGCCGACCUGCUCAUCCUCAACAAGACAGACCUGGUGACGCCGGCCGAGCUGGACGAGAUACGGAGCCGUCUGGUGGCCAUCAACGGAGCGGCCGCCCUGCUGCCGACCUCGCGCUGCAGGGUGGAUUUAGACAAGAUCUUAGACCUCCAUGCAUAUGAAAAGGUGGAUUUUAAAAGCUUAGAGAAGCAAUUCACCGUACCAGGAGGAUCGCAUAUAGACCAGAGUCUGGGCACGGUGACGCUGGAGCGGCCGGGCAGCGUGCGCCGCCGGGACCUGGAGUCGUUCGUGCACGGCCUGCUCUGGGAGAAGACGGUGGCCGACCGGCGCGGCCGGCCCGUCCACAUGCUGCGGAUGAAGGUGAGCCGGCCGGCCGGCCUGCGCCGCCGCUCAAUACCGAGCGGCCGGCCGGCCCGGGCCGACGGACGACGGCCGGCGCUCCGGGCCGGCCGGGAGCCGCGCUCGCCGCCGCCUUUGUCCACGCCCCACCGUGGGCCAGUUCUAUCUGCACCGAUAAACUCCAUUCACACACACUUAAUGAAAGACCGCGGGCCGGCCGGCGGCACAAUGCCGCCUGUUUACCUCAUGAAUAUAAAAGGUAGUAUUAUAUCAAUGGUCGGGCCGGUGGCCUGUAGUGGAUGAGUGGCGGCGCGGCUGCCGGCGAGAUCGUCGGGCCGCGCCGCGCCGCCGCCGGCACGGCCUCUUGUCAUAAUAGUUUUCCACCCGGUGAAAGGCGGCCGUGCGCCCCUGAAAAGGAGGUUUUUUGCCGGUGGCGGCGGCGUACACUUCCGUAUGGAGUGGCUGCGCCGGCCGUGUAGAGUGCGGCGCUCCCGAUUAUCGGCUGAUCCGCGGCGUCGGACCGGUGCGGCGCCGCUCCGAGGCGCCCCCGAUCGGACCGAUCAGUCGGCUCCACACAGCCAGACAGGAAAAUAUUAUCACAUUUAGCGCGGCUAGAUCGGAAAAUUCCGCUCCUUUUAUCCCACGACCAUCAUAGAUUUUAUGGCGUUUUGUGAUAGCAGACUGUUAUAUGGAGACAUCGUUUUUACAAGUUUUAGGGAGCGUAGUAGGCGCUAUUGAAGAGAGUCUUGAGUUUCCACUGAAAGGGGGUGAAGGAUGCCGCACUGAAUAUUGGUUCUCUCUUUGAAUAUCUACAUUGAUUUUUCCGAUUUUUCGUCGAUGAUUUACAGUGCGUCACUAAACCGUGACUCUUACCUUUUAAUAUUUUCCAUUUUCCUCGUACUUACAGAACUGAUUUUGUCUUACGGGUAGGUCACUGUCACCAAUCUUUUUUACGUCUUUAUGGUUAUACAUUUUACGGUCAGGGUUCAUGGUCCACUCUAUGUCAGUGGGUGAGGCGUAGUUAUCUGUAUCAAAACAUUGCAUUUCACUGUUGAACUGUGAUUGUCGAAAAGUACACUUUAUGGGUCCGGCUUUUACAAAUAGGCUCUUGAUUGGUGUUGUAUCCUUUACAUGUCAAUAACCGUACCACUAUCAUGAUGGUGUUCCUAGAAAAUGGCUGAUCUCUGCUGAUAGGCUCUAAUAAACGGAUUAGGUUAAGGAUCAUUGUUCUCCUUCAAUCUUUACUGCUAUUUGAAGAGACCUACAGUGUUUCUGUGUUGGCACCGACUUUUAGAUCCGUGUAAGAAAGAAGUGAACAUCACAGCUCAAAUUUACCCUGACGGUGUGCAAUGUGCAUUGUUUUGUUUUACGUGGUUGCCGAGCAGUAUCUAAUGCGCUUUACAGGGUUGGGCAGAUAAAUUGGGACAAAAUACAUAUUUGCAUUUAGAACGCCGUAGCUUAGAAAUUUGUAAACAUAGGCAUUUCAAAUUUGGAUCACAUAUUGUCACACCAAUUUUACACAUUUUCACCAAAUAUGGUCACCGUGGUCCACCUGCAUCAGUCCUUAUCGGUGCCUGGACUGGCCGCACGCGCGGCGAGAUCUCCCGUCUGAAAUGGCUCGUAAUUGUAGCCAACUGGCACUGCUGAGGCUCACCACAGUCAUAUGGGGACGUUCGUUAGGCUCACCCGUAAAAACGCCCCAGCAACCAUAACUUGUGUGGGCUGAGGUGUAAUGAGGAAGGGGGCAUUUUCCCUUGGGUACAGUUUGCGGGAUCCUCCGUUUCAGGAGAUUUUGUAUUUAAUUUACUGUAUGCCGGGGAGCUGACUCCUCGAAGAGCAUCACUCCAUGCAGGAUGUUGCCUUCUUUCAUCUUGUUGAUUCGAACUGCCGGAAUAAUGGUUAGGUACCCUGCAAUGGCGAACCCCCUCCCGGUUCCGUAAAAUAAGGGGGCCCCACGUGACCGUCAGAAGUCACCGAGUGGAAUGCCAUCACCGAUGUCUGCUGCAUGCUUUUUGGAACUAAGAUCACGUCUUCUGGGCUGGUUGCGAUGUUACAUGGUGUUUGCGGUUGUUCAUAUGUUCGGUUAUGGGGAUACCAUCGCCGAAAAAGACCUGCACGUGCUUGCUCGCUUCUCCAAGCCCUUCAAGAGGAAACAAUCUUUUUAACGUCACAGCUGCUUCAACAUCUAUGUUGACAGGUUGAUAUGCAUCAAUGCAUAAGAGUACAUGUUUGAGGUGCUGGUAUAUCGCUUUCUCAUGGCGCGGCUACCUUCGUUGUAAGCUCGCGCCACUGUUUUCGCGAGGAUCCUCUGAUUUAACUGAAUUUUGCCUUUUAGCCCCCCUGGAGAACCGGGGGAGCGGCCGGUGUCAAUGCAAUUGGUAUGUAAGGAUGAGUCAAUAUCAUCUCUUCCUCCAACGUUUACGUCUGUUCGAUACACAUUACUUUCAGCCAUUUGAUGGAGCAUAAUUAGAGUAUUGGCACGCAUGUGCGCGCGGACUAAGUUGAUAGUGGCUUGCUUAAGCCCACGUUCUGUGACCAGCCGACUCAAAAUUGCACCGCAACCUGCAUAACAUGGAAACGUAUUCAUAAGCCUAUAUUUAUGUUCAAAAAUUAUCUUUAUCACUCAAAAAAUAGUCGUUUUAGAGGAAGUUAAAAUUUGUCCCAAUUUAUCUGCCCAACCCUGUAUACCAAUAAGCUAUAAGCCGUCUGUGCUGACGAACGCCAGACCGACGUCUGAGUUCUGGGAGACAGCACUUUUUGUCAGAUGUUGCUGCUGCGAAUGAUUCUAGCUGGGCAAUAUUGAUUUUUUUUUCUGUAAGCCCGCGGCAUAAGGUUUUUUAAUGGAAUCUUACAGGGCAAUGCAUUCUAAAGAAGGCAGCGGUGCCGAAGCCUGAUGGAAGCUUCCUGUCCGCAGAACGCGACGCUGUGGCGACAUUUGUAGAUGGACAAUAGAUUAUGAACGCUGGAUGGACAACGGAUUAUUAUUUCCUUCGCCACCUAUUCGACGCCCCCUCACUAAGGCUUAUUGGCAGUCUUGUUACAGCGUCGCAGUGUGUAUCCACUCCCAAAGUAGUAACAGCAUCACGAGCCUUCUUAUCAAUUGGAAACAUUAUGUUAUCCGGCCUGAAUGUUUUUAUGUGAAACGAAAUACUGAAAUAAGUGAGCGGUGGUACACAUCGGCCAAGGAGCGCGGCGGUUUGCUUAGAUAGCCGUACUAUUGGGCCGGGUCGCGGUCCGCUGUCGGCGCGAUCCCUCCGCUCCGCCCGACUGUCCAGCUACUGCUGCUAACAUUGUGUACCCUCCUUUUUGUUAGCACUGUGUACCGCUGUAUAUCCCAGGGAAUGGCCAGUGUGGUCGGCCAGGAGAGGCGGCUGGUGGCACGGUCCUGAGACUCACACUCGUGUUAACCCUGUGUGUACCGCUGUAUAAUGUAUAUCCCAGGGAAUGGCCAGUGUGGUCGGCGAGGAGCGGCGGCUCAUCCUGCAGGCGGUCGGGGAGAUCUGCGACACCGAGUUUGCCAGCCGCUGGGAGCCCGACGAGCCGCACGUGACGCGACUCAUCUUCAUAGGCCGGCACCUGGACGAGUCGCGGCUAGACGAGGCCUUCCGAUCGACAGUACCUGUGGUCUCCGAGCACCAGUCGGACGCCGUAUGACCUUUGUGGGUCUGCCGGGCUCACCGGUGAUGCAUUUCUCAUCUGCUGUGCAGUGAAUAAUCGCGAUUGAAGUUGAUUUAAUACAUGUGAUGUCCGAUGUUA